GACGAACGCUGGCGGCGUGCUUAACACAUGCAAGUCGAACGGAAAGGCCUCUUUCGGGGGGUACUCGAGUGGCGAACGGGUGAGUAACACGUGAGUAACCUGCCCUUGACUUUGGGAUAACUUCAGGAAACUGGGGCUAAUACCGGAUAGGAGCUCCUGCUGCAUGGUGGGGGUUGGAAAGUUUCGGCGGUUGGGGAUGGACUCGCGGCUUAUCAGCUUGUUGGUGGGGUAGUGGCUUACCAAGGCUUUGACGGGUAGCCGGCCUGAGAGGGUGACCGGGCAAAUUGGGACUGAGAUACGGCCCAGACUCCUACGGGAGGCAGCAGUGGGGAAUAUUGCACAAUGGGUGGAAGCCUGAUGCAGCAACGCCGUGUGCGGGAUGACGGCCUUCGGGUUGUGAACCGCUUUCGCUCAUGACGAAGCUUUGUGUGACGGUAGUGGGUAAAGAAGCACCGGCUAACUACGUG
rnacentral:rRNA from 1 species